GACGAACGCUGGCGGCGUGCCUAAUACAUGCAAGUAGAACGCUGAAGGAGGAGCUUGCUUCUCUGGAUGAGUUGCGAACGGGUGAGUAACGCGUAGGUAACCUGCCUGGUAGCGGGGGAUAACUAUUGGAAACGAUAGCUAAUACCGCAUAACAGUAGAUGUUGCAUGACAUUUGCUUAAAAGGUGCAAUUGCAUCACUACCAGAUGGACCUGCGUUGUAUUAGCUAGUUGGUGGGGUAACGGCUCACCAAGGCGACGAUACAUAGCCGACCUGAGAGGGUGAUCGGCCACACUGGGACUGAGACACGACCCAGACUCCUACGGGAGGCAGCAGUAGGGAAUCUUCGGCAAUGGACGGAAGUCUGACCGAGCAACGCCGCGUGAGUGAAGAAGGUUUUCGGAUCGUAAAGCUCUGUUGUAAGAGAAGAACGAGUGUGAGAGUGGAAAGUUCACACUGUGACGGUAUCUACCAG
rnacentral:rRNA from 1 species